UGUCAGCAUUUUCUGGCUGGCGCCUUCCCGCCUGCGAUCAGCGUGACCUUUCAGCUUCUACGCCUUCGUGUCCUCUGUCCUGAGUAUCUCAGCAGCAGGAGCCUGAGAGGUUUGCCAUACUCAUUCCUUCUUUUCCGGGAGAAGAGUUGGGGAGAGGAUGAUGUAAAUACCAUGCCAGGCUAAGUCGGAAGACUGGAUAAAGUUGACCUACUGGUAGUAAAAAAUGUCUGAUUCUACCCCAUGAUUCUAAAGCAUACUACUAGAGGAUACCAUUGCAGUUGGACAGAAAAACAGAGAGAUUACAGUAUGCCAACUUUCUUUAGGAAAAAGUCAUGGCAGGAGAAAAUGUGAGUGAACCCUCCCUGGGACUAUAAUGGGUCAGAAGAGAGUCAUCUGAGAUCCAGAGAAGAAGCAGAGCAUACAGAACAGGCCAAAUGAUCCAGGUUCAAGUAGAAGAUGUUUAAUGAUCAGUGACAAGUCAGGUUGCAAGAUGGUGAGAAGCUUGAGAGAAACAAGACUGGAAGUCUGGCCACAAGGAGCCCUUAAGUGGAGAUAAGAAAGAAGCCCUCCCAGAGUGCACAGACUUGGGCAAAAUUUCUAAGCCAUACAGAUUUUAGGCUUCACUGGUGGCUCAGCGGUAAAGAAUCCCCUUGCCAAUGCUGGAGACACAGGUUCAAUUCUUGGGUUGGGAAGAUCACCUAAGGAAGAAAAUGGCAAUCUACUCCAGUAUUCUUGCCUGGAGAAUCCCAAGGACAGGGGAUCCUGGCAGGCUACAGUCCAUGUGGUUGCCAAGAAGCAGACACAACUGAGUGGCUGAACAACAACAAAUAGAUCUUCCGUUGACUGACUUCCAUGUUAGUCUGUGAAGGUUGCUGCCAUGAAAACCAAAUAAAACCAUCACCUACUUCGGAAAAGCUAUUUCAGCCACUGAUGAUUUCUCUUUCCUCAAGGUUAAGAAUUUUCAGCUCAUGAGUUUUCCCUACAUGUUAUCAAACUCAUUUUUCCCUUUCAUACAAUAUUUCAUUGUCCUACCAUAAAAAACACCAAGGAAAUCAUAAGGUUUCUCUUUUUGAUUUUUGUCUUGUAGACAAAUCGUGACAUAGUAAGAGGUUCUUGGUACGUGUGUGUUCAGUAAAUAUUUAUGAAUGUUUUAAGGAGUUAAUUUUGAAAACUGAAAUUUGAACUAUCACUCUUAGGUUACAACAUAAAAUCUAGCCUAAUAGUUAUGAUCAGAGUAAAACUUAUACACACAAACUCAUAAACUCACACAUAUAUUUCAUUUAAUAAAAUUUUAAACUCCUGUGCAUGUAAUACUUAAAUAAUGCAGUUUAAUUAACUGUAUAAAUACAUGCCAUAGAAAUACAGAGAUUUAUGUUGAUUCAUAUUCAUAUGUAAAAUUUACAUUAGCUAUAUUACAAGGAUAAAUAUCAGAAAAUGUGCAAUAAUUCAAAGAAAAAAAGUGCAAAAAUUAUUUUUCUGAUAUAUGGGAAAAUUUGAACAUGGACUGGAUAUAGUCUGUAUUAUAUUUUCCAAUGGGUAAGAAUACUAUUAUGGUUAUAUUAAGAAAGAAUAACAUCUUAUGAGAAAUAUUAAUGCACAUUGGGCUAUUUAAGUGUAAAAUAAGUUGUUUUCUUGAAUUUGCUUUAAAAUUCUCAAAUAAUAAUGGAUCAACACAUUACUGGUUUGAUUGUAGCAAUUACUGUGGAUCAGAGAUAGAAACAAAGGGGAACACUGGCUUUUCUCUCUCAUCUUGUGUGUGUGUGUGUGUGUGUGUGUGUGUGAGUGUGUGUGUGAGUGUGUGUGUGAGUGUGUGUGUGUGAACACUUCUGUAAUACAAUGUUUAAAAAAGUUCACUCAUACACAAUUGAUAAUAGUUUAGUAUGAGAACAUAAAACAAUAAUUAACAAAAAACCUGAGUUAGACAGGUGAUUUUACAAAAGCCUAUUUUAUUGACAAUUCAGUAAAAUGAUAUUUAUUAUAUAAAAAGUAUACAACCACCAAGUCCCAUAUAUUUUCUUAUAUGUGUCAAGGAGAAGAAAACAAAUGAGCCCAGAAGUUGAGAAAUGAAUUAUUUAAUUAAAAAAAAUCUCCUUUUUUAUGUUGGAACAUUUGACAUUUGUGUUGAAUUGCAAUGCUUUUCUAUUCUCUCACUCAAGUUAAAAGGUCAGUUCAGUUAUUUUCCUUCAAACUGGAUUUUUGUGCACUAGCAUAUUAAUAAAAACAUUAAUUUCACAUUAACUCUUACAUUUCAAUCAUUUCUUACUAAAAAUGACCUUGCUGCCUGCUCUAUAUACUUUUUGUUCAAUAAAGGUAAUGUUUAUAUAUAUAUGACAAAAAUGAGGAUUGUGAGGACUUCCAUAGUGGUUCAUUGGAUAAGACUCUGCACUUUUUCAAUCCAGGGUGCCUGGGUUCAGUCCCUGGUCAGGGAACUAGAUCCCACAUGCUGCAACUAAAGAUCCUGAGUGCUACAUAGACAAAUUUUUUUUUUAAAUAAUGAAUAUUGUUUUUCUCAUAUUUAUCUUUUUUCACAUUUACCUUGCUUGACAGGUAAGAUUUUAUAAGUGAAAAUCAAAAUUUUGCUUGCUUCAUUUUAUAUGCAGGAUUUUGCUUCUACUGAAGCUUUUGCUCUACCCUCAAGAUUUUGAUAUAAUAUUUAUCAGAUAUGCAUACUUUUAUCUCAAAAUAAUAAGAAAUUUGAUACUUUUUCUUGGAUUUUUCUAACACUGUCUUUGACAUAUUGUGUGUGUAUGUUCUGUAUUUUGAAUAAAUUUCACAACUUAUUAAAGAGAAACAAAAAGGUUAUAUCAGGC